rnacentral:lncRNA from 1 species
GGCGCAUCCAAAGUGUGAAGGAUUGCUGCCAAUGUGUACUCCAAAAAGGUUGGCCAGUUUAUAUUCCCAGGAAUACGAAUAUUUUCUGUCUACAAUUGGUUGAAUCUGUGGAUGUGGAAACUGCAGAUACAGAUGGAGAGCCGACUAUACUAGCUUUUUGUUUCAUUUUUCACUUCUGGUGUGUGUGUGUGUGUGUGUGUGUGUGUGUGUGUGUGUGUAUCUGUGUGUGUGUUUUAUUAAUCUCUGUGCCUGCAUGUUAGUUUCUUCCUCUUUAUUUGGAUUUUCACUAACAUUCUUUUCAGCUUCUUCAGUUGGAUACUUGUUGCCAAUAUAUUUUUUUUCAUUCUAAGAAUUAAAUAAAUGGGCCAGGCGUGGUGGCUCAUGCCUGUAAUCCCAGCACUUUGGGAGGCCAAGAUGGGUGGAUCACAAGGUCAGGUGUUUGAGACCAGCUUGGCCAAAGCUGGUGAAACUCCAUCUCUACUAAAAAUACAAAAAUUAGCUGGGCAUGGUGGUGCGCG